AUGUUCAACUUCCUUUUCCAUUCUCACACAACAGCAGUAGCCAUUUAAAUUUUCCUCUGGCCUUUGACUUAUUAAAAAAACUCGACGCUUUAGAUUUGAUAUAAGCAUAGAUUCACUUUAGACUUUAUUUCCUCUGUAUUCAUAUCCAUCACCAUGAACAGUUUAGGAACCUUAUUCUCCGAAUUAAUGGUGAAAUUUUAUUCUGAUGUGGAUUGGAGGAAUCCACUAUCUAUAAUGUGCUGAAACCUUGAAAGCCAUUUGUUCCAAGGAAGAUCCUGUUGACUGGAGCAUCAUUACACCACACAUACAUGGAAAAAAUGUGGGAAAUUAGUGAAAAUAUACUUCUUCUUGGGAGAGUUUGAUGGCCAGUUUGGAGGAAUCUCUGGAAACCUUUAUGUAAAGUGAUAAAAAGCAGAAUUCCUCAAUAGUUUCGCUAGCGAAUGAACAGGAUUGAUUGCAGAUGGGAAAUGUUAUGAUGCUUCUCAAGCUGAAUCAUCAAAUGGGCAGUGAUGAGACUAGCUAGUACAUACAUCAUAUUAUCUCUUGAGUGUGUAUGUAAGGAUAAUGGAAAGCACUGUCCGAGCCCAUACAUCCAUGUGUAUGCGCCUGGUCGAUCCGGUGCCAGUGAGGCAUUGAUGCUUUACGAGCACUCAGCUCACUUGUAUCCUAUAAAAAUCUGGACCACAACCAAUCUUAUUUACAUUAUGUUAAAGAUUCGUUGAUCCAACUAUAAUCUGAUUAAUAACGUGAUAUUUUGAGAUCAGAUAGCUGAAAGUGAGUGUUCCUUCAAUCAAAACUUAUUACAAUUAAAAGGCCAAAUUUGAGUUGUUGGAUUGUCUAGUCAAAUCAUUAAAUGAUUAAGAUUAAAAUUUCAGAAAGUUACGAAUGAAGUCUAUAUAUUUCUAGAAGUUUUCCAUGUUUUGACGCACCAUUAUGAUUCUUUCAUACCCCCUUUUC